rnacentral:rRNA from 1 species
UGGGGAAUAUUGCGCAAUGGGCGAAAGCCUGACGCAGCCACGCCGCGUGAGUGAUGAAGGCCUUCGGGUUGUAAAGCUCUGUCGGGAGGGACGAAAGGAGCAAUCCUUGACGGUACCUCGCAAGAAAGCACCGGCUAACUCUGUGCCAGCAGCCGCGGUAAUACAGAGGGUGCAAGCGUUGCUCGGAUUUACUGGGCGUAAAGCGUACGCAGACGGUGAGAAAGGUCGGAUGUGAAAGCCCCGGGCUCAACCCGGGAACUGCAUCCGAAACCAUCUCGCUAGAGUAUGGGAGAGGGAAGCGGAAUUCCUGGUGUAGAGGUGAAAUUCGUAGAUAUCAGGAGGAACAUCUGCGGCGAAGGCGGCUUCCUGGCCCAUUACUGACGUUCAGGUACGAAAGCGUGGGUAGCAAACAGG